GAACGAACGCUGGCGGCGCGCCCAAUACAUGCAAGUCGAGCGAGAAGACGUAGCAAUACGUUUGUAAAGCGGCGAACGGGUGAGGAAUACAUGGGGUAACCUACCCUCGAGUGGGGAAUAACUAGCCGAAAGGUUAGCGUAAUACCGCGUACGCUCCUUGGACUUCGGUUCAGGGAGGAAAGCGAUACCGUGGGUAUCGCGCUCUUGGGAUGGGCUCAUGUCCUAUCAGCUUGUUGGUGAGGUAACGGCUCACCAAGGCUUCGACGGGUAGCUGGUCUGAGAGGACGAUCAGCCACACUGGCACUGCGACACGGGCCAGACUCCUACGGGAGCAGCAGUAAGGAUAUUGCGCAAUGGGCGAAAGCCUGACGCAGCGACGCCGCGU
rnacentral:rRNA from 1 species